rnacentral:lncRNA from 1 species
AUACCCACAAUUUAAAGGAAAUUGCGACAUGCCCAACCCAAUUCCCCCUCAGAAAACCACGAUUCCAACAUCAAAAACCCUCCUUUCCAAUCACACUCUCCAAAUUACCAUCUUAAUAAACACUGUCCAAAAUCAGUAACAUAUUACUAAUACAACACAAAAUCAGAACCUGGUAAAGAAGGGGAUACAUAAAGAUCCAAAAUCUUAAAACAUUUACUACAUCCAUCAAAACCCCGCAUAUCCAACUCAAUUCCCCCUCAGAAAACCACAAUCCCAUCAUCAAAAUCCCACCUUUUUGACAACACUCUCUGCACUCUCUGAAUUAACAUCUUAAACUAUUCAAAAAAUCACUAACAGAUUAAAGUAGCAAUACAAUACAAAACCCGAAACUGGUAAAGAGGAGGACACAACAGAUCCAAAAUCUUAAUAUGUUUACUUCUCCAAUCAAAAUCCCCAUAUACUGAGCUCAAUUUUCUUCAAAAAACCACAAAUCUCAUCAUCAAUAUCCGUCCUUUCCAAUCACAAUCUCCAAAUUACCAUCUUAAUAAACAACAUCCAAAAUAAGUAACAUAUUACUAAUACAAUACAAUAUCAGAAACUGGUAAAGAAGGGGACACAUAAAGACCCAAAAUCUUAAAACAUUUACUACAUCAAUCAAAACCCUGCAUAUCCAACUCAAUUCCCCCUCAGAAAACCACAAUCCCAUCAUCAAAAUCCCACCUUUUCGACAACACUCUCUGAAUUAACAUCUUAAACACUAUUCAAAAAAUAUUAAAAUAACAAUGCAAUACAAAACCCGAAACUUGUAAAGAGGAGGACACAGCAGAUCCAAAAUCUUAAUAUGUUUACUUCUCCAAUCAAAAUCCCCAUAUACUGAGCUCAAUUUUCUUCAGAAAACCAUAAAUCUCAUCAUCAAUAUCCCUCCUUUCCAAUCACAAUCUCCAAAUUACCAUCUUAAUAAACAACAUCCAAAAUAAGUAACAUAUUACUAAUACAAUAUAAUAUCAGAAACUGGUAAAGAAGGGGACACAUAAAAGAUCCAAAAUUAGCAAAACAUUUACUACACCAAUCAAAAUCCUUCCAUACCCAUCUCAAUGCCAACAUCAAAAUCCCCCCCUUUUCAAUAAUAUUCCUCCAAAUCGCCAUCUUAAAGUACUAACACUCUACAAAAUCCGAACCUGAUAAAGAGGAGAGAUCAAAAUUCUUAAUAUGCUCACUCUCCCAAUCAAAUUCUCCCCACACCCAUCUCAAUUUCCCCUCAGAAAACCACAAUCCCAGCAUCAAAAUCCCACCUUUCUCAUCAUACUCUCCAAAUUACAAAGGACUCGCAACAAAUCGAAUCGAAGCAACAGGAAUACAAUACGAAAAAAAAAAAAAAAUUCCGAAC